rnacentral:rRNA from 1 species
ACGGGAGGCAGCAGUGGGGGAUAUUGCACAAUGGGGGAAACCCUGAUGCAGCAACGCCGCGUGAGUGAUGAAGGUCUUCGGAUUGUAAAGCUCUGUCUUUAGGGACGAUAAUGACGGUACCUAAGGAGGAAGCCACGGCUAACUACGUGCCAGCAGCCGCGGUAAUACGUAGGUGGCAAGCGUUAUCCGGAUUUACUGGGCGUAAAGGGAGCGUAGGCGGAUAUUUAAGUGGGAUGUGAAAUACCCGAGCGUAACUUGGGUGCUGCAUUCCAAACUGGGGAUCUAGAGUGCAGGAGAGGAGAAGGGAAUUCCUAGUGUAGCGGUGAAAUGCGUAGAGAUUAGGAAGAACACCAGUGGCGAAGGCGAUUCUCUGGACUGUAACUGACGCUGAGGCUCGAAAGCGUGGGGAGCAAACAGGAUUAGAUACCCUGGUA